AAAAUCCAUCUUUAUUUUUUUUAAAUGAGGAUCAUCAUUUUUUUUUCUAGAGCUACUCUUGUCCUAGCAUACUUAACUCUCUUAAUCUUUUGGGCCUAGCCACCACCCAAAAUGUUUAAACCGAGUUAAGAGUUUAGCCCUAUUAUAUCUUAUAUAUAUGACUAUCUGGAGUCUCAUAAUCUCCCUCCUUAAGCUUCUCGCUAGUCUAAAACGAUCUUAUGGUGAGCUGCGCUCCAUCCACAAUAGUCAACAGCAUGAGAGCCUCGCUCUCCUCGCUGUAUAACCUGGCUCAACCGAGACCAUCUCACACUUUCAAUUAGUAAUUGGCUCUUAUACCAACUGUGGAGUCCCAACUUCCUAGGAGAUCAACUAUCCUAGGAUUACUCCCGUCCUAGCACUCUUAACCUCUUGAGCCUAGCCACCGCCCAAAAUGCUUAAGUCGGAUUAAGAAUUUAGCCCUAUUAUAUCUUAUAUAUAGGACAAUCUGGGGUCUCACACAAAAACUCUGUAUUGCGCUACCUCCGGAGUUGGGAAUUUAUAAUUCUAUAAAAUAGGGGGAAAAACUAGUUGUUUUUCUCAUGGUGUAAAAAAUACUAUAUUUUAUCCAUACAGUAAAAAGAGAGUAAAAAAU
rnacentral:lncRNA from 1 species